AUUGAACGCUGGCGGCAUGCCUUACACAUGCAAGUCGAACGGUAACAGGUCUUCGGAUGCUGACGAGUGGCGAACGGGUGAGUAAUACAUCGGAACGUGCCCGAUCGUGGGGGAUAACGAGGCGAAAGCUUUGCUAAUACCGCAUACGAUCUACGGAUGAAAGCGGGGGAUCUUCGGACCUCGCGCGGACGGAGCGGCCGAUGGCAGAUUAGGUAGUUGGUGGGAUAAAAGCUUACCAAGCCGACGAUCUGUAGCUGGUCUGAGAGGAUGAUCAGCCACACUGGGACUGAGACACGGCCCAGACUCCUACGGGAGGCAGCAGUGGGGAAUUUUGGACAAUGGGCGAAAGCCUGAUCCAGCUAUGCCGCGUGCAGGAUGAAGGCCUUCGGGUUGUAAACUGCUUUUGUACGGAACGAAAAGCCUCUUUCUAAUAAAGAGGGGUCAUGACGGUACCGUAAGAAUAAGCACCGGCUAACUACGUG
rnacentral:rRNA from 1 species